rnacentral:rRNA from 1 species
UACGUAGGGUGCAAGCGUUUAUCCGGAAUUAUUGGGCGUAAAGAGCUCGUAGGCGGUUUGUCGCGUCUGCUGUGAAAACCCGAGGCUCAACCUCGGGCCUGCAGUGGGUACGGGCAGACUAGAGUGCGGUAGGGGAGAUUGGAAUUCCUGGUGUAGCGGUGGAAUGCGCAGAUAUCAGGAGGAACACCGAUGGCGAAGGCAGAUCUCUGGGCCGUAACUGACGCUGAGGAGCGAAAGCGUGGGGGAGCGAACAGG